UCGGGAAUAUUGCGCAAUGGAGGAAACUCUGACGCAGUGACGCCGCGUGCAGGAAGAAGGUUUUCGGAUUGUAAACUGCAUUUAGACAGGGAAGAAAAAAUGACAGUACCUGUAGAAUAAGCUCCGGCUAACUACGUGCCAGCAGCCGCGGUAAUACGUAGGGAGCAAGCGUUAUCCGGAUUUAUUGGGUGUAAAGGGUGCGUAGACGGGAAGACAAGUUAGUUGUGAAAUCCCUCGGCUUAACUGAGGAACUGCAACUAAAACUAUCAUUCUUGAGUGCUGGAGAGGAAAGUGGAAUUCCUAGUGUAGCGGUGAAAUGCGUAGAUAUUAGGAGGAACACCAGUGGCGAAGGCGACUUUCUGGACAGUAACUGACGUUGAGGCACGAAAGUGUGGGGAGCAAACAGGAUUAGAUACCC
rnacentral:rRNA from 1 species